GAUCAAGAUGCAGAGCUCCCUUCAAUCCAAAUAGCGGUCGGCGAGGGAUCGGAGCGUCUCCUUGGUCAUGCAAACCACAAGCCUGUCUCCUCGAUUUCUAAUGGAGAUAGGAUAGUGGGAACCAUGAACAAGCAGCUGCACAAACCCUUCCGGUAGACCUUUCUUUGGAAUGAUAGGAGCUCCACUUCUAAACCAA
rnacentral:pre_miRNA from 1 species